GGAAAUAGCAAAAUAGAUAUAUAUUUUUUUUAAUCAUCUUUGUCGAGCAAACGAAUUUGAUCCACCAAAUGAUCCCCAUUAAAAUUUCCUUAGUCUUUCCCUUAAUCUUGCUUGGCGUUACCAUUACCUCUGAAGCGCAGCCCACAUAUCUCUAUCAUAUUUGUCCAAACACAACCACUUUCAGCAGAAACAGCCCCUACGAGGACAAUCUUAAUACCCUCCUGUCUCAACUUUCGUCGCCCGCACAACGCCUCAAUGGGUUAUCAAAUCCAGUUAGUGGGAAAGAGCCAGAUUUUGUCUAUGGCCUCUCUCUAUGCUUUGGAGAACUUAG
rnacentral:misc_RNA from 1 species